rnacentral:rRNA from 1 species
GAUGAACGCUGGCGGCGUGCCUAAUACAUGCAAGUCGAGCGAACGGACGAGAAGCUUGCUUCUCUGAUGUUAGCGGCGGACGGGUGAGUAACACGUGGAUAACCUACCUAUAAGACUGGGAUAACUUCGGGAAACCGUAGCUAAUACCGGAUAAUAAUUUGAACCGCAUGGUUCAAAAGUGAAAGACGGUCUUGCUGUCACUUAUAGAUGGAUCCGCGCUGCAUUAGCUAGUUGGUAAGGUAACGGCUUACCAAGGCAACGAUGCAUAGCCGACCUGAGAGGGUGAUCGGCCACACUGGAACUGAGACACGGUCCAGACUCCUACGGGAGGCAACAGUAGGGAAUCUUCCGCAAUGGGCGAAAGCCUGACGGAGCAACGCCGCGUGAGUGAUGAAGGUCUUCGGAUCGUAAAACUCUGUUAUUAGGGAAGAACAUAUGUGUAAGUAACUGUGCACAUCUUGACGGUACCUAAUCAGAAAGCCACGGCUAACUACGUG